AGAGAGGUGUCCGAGUGGUUUAAGGAGCACGCCUGGAACGCGUGUGUGGGGUAACACUCACCGAGGGUUCGAAUCCCUUCCUCUCUG
rnacentral:tRNA from 1 species